UUGGUGCUUGCAUCAUGAUUUACAUUUGAGUGAGUGGCGAACUGGUGAGUAACACGUGGGAAACCUGCCCAGAAGCGGGGGAUAACACCUGGAAACAGAUGCUAAUACCGCAUAACAACUUGGACCGCAUGGUCCGAGUUUGAAAGAUGGCUUCGGCUAUCACUUUUGGAUGGUCCCGCGGCGUAUUAGCUAGAUGGUGGGGUAACGGCUCACCAUGGCAAUGAUACGUAGCCGACCUGAGAGGGUAAUCGGCCACAUUGGGACUGAGACACGGCCCAAACUCCUACGGGAGGCAGCAGUAGGGAAUCUUCCACAAUGGACGAAAGUCUGAUGGAGCAACGCCGCGUGAGUGAAGAAGGGUUUCGGCUCGUAAAACUCUGUUGUUAAAGAAGAACAUAUCUGAGAGUAACUGUUCAGGUAUUGACGGUAUUUAACCAGAAAGCCACGGCUAACUACGUGCCAGCAGCCGCGGUAAUACGUAGGUGGCAAGCGUUGUCCGGAUUUAUUGGGCGUAAAGCGAGCGCAGGCGGUUUUUUAAGUCUGAUGUGAAAGCCUUCGGCUCAACCGAAGAAGUGCAUCGGAAACUGGGAAACUUGAGUGCAGAAGAGGACAGUGGAACUCCAUGUGUAGCGGUGAAAUGCGUAGAUAUAUGGAAGAACACCAGUGGCGAAGGCGGCUGUCUGGUCUGUAACUGACGCUGAGGCUCGAAAGUAUGGGUAGCAAACAGGAUUAGAUACCCUGGUAGUCCAUACCGUAAACGAUGAAUGCUAAGUGUUGGAGGGUUUCCGCCCUUCAGUGCUGCAGCUAACGCAUUAAGCAUUCCGCCUGGGGAGUACGGCCGCAAGGCUGAAACUCAAAGGAAUUGACGGGGGCCCGCACAAGCGGUGGAGCAUGUGGUUUAAUUCGAAGCUACGCGAAGAACCUUACCAGGUCUUGACAUACUAUGCAAUCUAAGAGAUUAGACGUUCCCUUCGGGGACAUGGAUACAGGUGGUGCAUGGUUGUCGUCAGCUCGUGUCGUGAGAUGUUGGGUUAAGUCCCGCAACGAGCGCAACCCUUAUUAUCAGUUGCCAGCAUUAAGUUGGGCACUCUGGUGAGACUGCCGGUGACAAACCGGAGGAAGGUGGGGAUGACGUCAAAUCAUCAUGCCCCUUAUGACCUGGGCUACACACGUGCUACAAUGGAUGGUACAACGAGUUGCGAACUCGCGAGAGUAAGCUAAUCUCUUAAAGCCAUUCUCAGUUCGGAUUGUAGGCUGCAACUCGCCUACAUGAAGUCGGAAUCGCUAGUAAUCGCGGAUCAGCAUGCCGCGGUGAAUACGUUCCCGGGCCUUGUACACACCGCCCGUCACACCAUGAGAGUUUGUAACACCCAAAGUCG
rnacentral:rRNA from 2 species